rnacentral:rRNA from 1 species
AUCUACAGCCAUCCCACCUUGAUUGCACGGAUCUUGUCAUAUCUCAGGAGGCAAGCAAGUUUGGGCUCCAGUUAGUUAGUACUUAGAUGGGAGAAUGUAAGUU